UACGUAGGGGGCAAGCGUUGUCCGGAAUCAUUGGGCGUAAAGCGCGUGUAGGCGGCCCGGUAAGUCCGCUGUGAAAGUCCAGGGCUCAACCCUGGGAUGCCGGUGGAUACUGUCGGGCUCGAGUCCGGAAGAGGAGUGUGGAAUUCCUGGUGUAGCGGUGAAAUGCGUAGAUAUCUGGAGGAACACCGGUGGCGAAGGCGGCAUUCUGGACCAAUAUUGACGCUGAGGAGCGAAAGCCAGGGGAGCAAACGGG
rnacentral:rRNA from 1 species